rnacentral:rRNA from 1 species
UACGUAAGGUCCGAGCGUUGUCCGGAAUCAUUGGGCGUAAAGGGUACGUAGGCGGAUAAGCAAGUUAGAAGUGAAAUCCUAUAGCUCAACUAUAGUAAGCUUUUAAAACUGCUCAUCUUGAGGUAUGGAAGGGAAAGUGGAAUUCCUAGUGUAGCGGUGAAUGCGCAGAUAUUAGGAGGAUACCGGUGGCGAAGGCGACUUUCUGGCCAUAAACUGACGCUGAGGUACGAAAGCGUGGGUACAAACAGGAUUAGA